CUCAGACUUUAGAGGCCAUUAUCAUCAAUCAUGCCCUCCACAAUGAGACUAGCUGAAACCACACGUGUCAGUUCACACGUGCAACCUCUCUGCCCAUUCACAUCUCUCAAGUUUUCAUCUUCAAUAAUAGAAAUACGAGGAAAGAGUUCCGUAAACACAGUGUAUUGUUGGGCCAACAGAAGUUGAUUUGAGCUACCAAAUCCUCUCAGCAAAACAGAAGAAUUGUUCCAUCAGAGGAUGAUGACGAUGGUGUGUCGCUUGGCACCAUGAAAUUGCCUUCAGAUACUGAUCUUCAGAAGUCUACUGCUCCAGGUAGAUGAAAUACCAGGUAGAGCAUGAUUGGGAUUUAUUACAGUUGGAGAUGGGGAGACUGAGGUCCUUGUGUACAUAGAUUGUUUGGUUUUUCCCGCAUCUGGCAGUUCUGGUCAGAUUUUCGAGCUAUUAGAAAUGUACCAUUAACAGAUAAUUCACAUCCUGGUGAGCCACGGAUCAUGAGAAGUCUUAUGCAAGCCCUCCAGAAAUCAGUUGAAAUUGCUAGAGUUUGAACCGUUUUGUAUUUAAGGUGUAAUAAUAUGCAUCUUGACUCUCUUUUGUUAAUACUGUUAUUUCUAGCAUUAUGUUUAUAAUUUUAAUUUUCUAUGCUUGGUUAAGGCAAUAAAACUUUUGUUCUUAUAUAUUUCAUUUAUAUCUGUCUAUAUAUCUAUCUUUCUGCUUGCCUUUUAUCCACUUAGCUAGUUAGAUAUCUAUGGCAUUGGAUUUUUGCAAUAAUGGAGAUUGCUUAGGGUCUGGAAGCAUAUAUCAAUUUAUUAUUUGUAGGUUUAUUUAGCUUCUGUGAGAUCUGUCCUUUUAGAACAUUUUCAGAAUGAAAUACAUUUGUAGUGUCAGUUAUGACUUGAGUGCUUAGCAAUAGUGAUUUGUAGAAUUAAGAGGGUAGUUGUAGCUUACAAUGUUCACCAACUUAGCUUUAAAACAUAUUUGUGCUAACUCAUCUUCUAGAAGAUAACUUUUGUUUAUCUUUUUCUCCCAUAUCAACAUCUUGAUGCAUGUGAUUGAAUAUUUUAUAUUGCACAUUUUGAGUGCAAUAUGCUAUGCAUAAGAAUAUACAAAAAGAGACUUUAAAUAGUUGAUCAACCUUUUAUUGCAAGUAAUUAACCUUAAUUAAGGUUCUGUUAUAAUCACUAAAGAUAUAUGUAUUGUAUGUGAUUUUUUUUCAGCUGUUGAGAAGAAUCCAUCUACUCUUUUUUGCCCCGUCUAUGUUUUAUUUUUUCAUUUUUUAAGAAAUCGACUGUACAUAGAUAAGGAAGCAUAAAUCUAGGUAAUUGUUUUGUAGUGAUUUGUCUCAAUAUGUACCGAUUUGAUCCUAGAUCUUGGAAUUGGAUUGGACUAUACUCUUUAUAGAUAAAGAAUGAUAUUCUAGCUACUCUUUAAGAAGAACAUGCACUAGAGAACAAAAUAGUAUAAUCAGAAUCAUAUGUGCUGGCAGUAUGUUCAUUUAUAUAUUUCGUUGAAUCUGAAUCUGAAACUGAUAUUCCCCUCUAGUUUUCGACUGUGUUCAUUUUUACUGUUUAUAAGACAUGCUAGCUUGUUGAUAAUUCAUAACAUCUUAGUCCUGAAAUUUUAAAAGAUUUCAAAAAAAUAUGGAGAAAAAAGCUGGUUUGGAACAGAGGUUGGGUGAUGAAGAAGAAGAUGGUUAUGAUGCUGUUGUUGUGGGGUCUGCAGUUUGGUUGCAUCUUUUCAGAUGUUGAUGGUAGGGAUAAAGGUAUGCCUUGUAGAGAAAGGCAGGCAAUGGGAAGCUAAUGAUUUCCAACUCAUUGUCUGAAGAUCAUGUCAGCCUUAAGGGUGGAAAACUGGAAUUUAGUUGUCAGCUUUUGACCAAAAGAUGCUUUGCUUCAGGUGAUUCUCUAGCAGCAAUGGCUUUUGGGCUUGGUGGAGGUUCACUAGACAAUUCUGGAGUGAUGCUGCCAACUCCAGUUUGUGCUAGAAGGAAUCCUGAGUGGCCAAAGGAAUGGGAAUGGGAAUUGGAUUGGCAAUGGGAUAGUUGCGCUGCCAUGUGUAGAGUACAAAGAGCUCCUGUCAGGUAUCCUGUUUCCUAAGUCAUGAGAGAAAUAGCCAAUGGAGAGAUUGAAGAAAGUUGCGAAGAUUUUAUGAAAGUAAGCAUUGAAUUUCGAUUUCAAAAACCUCCACCCCAACUUACGAAGCUUCAACAGACAAGCAUCUGCUUAGCCUGUAGAAAUUGUCUUGCUGGGUGCCCUUAUAAGGCCAAAAAUUCUACUGACAAAAAUCGACUCCGUUUGGUAUAUAUUUUUUUUUAAUAAUAUUCUAUUCUGAAUAUGAUAGGAUAUGAUUUAAUAAAAUAAGAUAGGAUU